UCUCUUACAUUUCCCUCCUCAGCAUAAAUAAAAACACGAUCUUUCCCUCAUUCUUUUCUUUUUAUCUUUUAGUUUUUGAGAGAGAGACCCAGUAGAUCGAAAUCUUCCAUCUUCUAUCUCUCUCUCUCUCUCUUUUUUGAAGUUCGGAGAAGAUAUAUAAGCUCCUCUAAUGGAUUUGCAAUAACACCCACUUUGUUAUUAGCCGUGCAAUUAUGAUUUUUUUUUUUAAGCUUAUUGGCUGGGUGUGUGUUUUGAUAGUGUCAGUCUUUUGGACUCUUUGAAUUUUGUCAAUGGUGUCUGUCAAAUGAUUGAAUCUAUGGGAAUUCUUGAGUAAAUGAGAUAAUAGGAUGUGGGUAUGAGGUAAUAUUUAUUUAUUUUGCAUUUUCUUUCAAUCUAAUUUGAUUCAUGGUUUUUUCUUGUUUGAUGAUUUGAUUAAUUAGGUUUUAAUUUGUUUCAUGCUUUUAUUAGUAAGUAGUCUUGAUUUUGAGUUUGAUAAAUUGUUGGGAUUAUUGCUUGAUCUGGCGAUUAAAACAAAAGACACUUUCUAGAUCCGGGGAUUUUAGUUUAGUUUGAUUUUUGGGUUUUUCUUAUUUGGUGAUUUGGUUAAUUAAGUUUUAAUUCGUUUCAUGCGUUAUUAAUAAGUAGUUUCGAUUUUGAGUUUGAUAUAUUGUCGGGUUUAUUGCCUGAUCUGGGGGAUUAAAACAAAAGAUCACUGUUUCAUCUUGGGGAUUAAAUAAAAAGACACCUGUAUGAUCUAGGAGGUAGUGAAGCACCAUCACAAACCCCAGAUCUUUUAGCAGAGAAGGUAAUUGUCCAGUUUUAGAUUCUGGGACCUACGUGAAAUAACAUAUAGCCCUGGUACUGAUAUGUAAAACAAAAACAUGUUUGAUCUGGGACGCUGGUGAACUUGAGAGUUGAGAGCAAUUUUGGGCCUUCUAGGGUUUUGAUUCCUCAUGAACUCAUGGGGGCCAUGGAGAGGGCAUCUUUUUCCUGUUUAAAAACGAUAUACCCAAGAUGGAGCAGAUUGCAAUGAUCUGGAGAGAAACAAUGAGAGAGACCUUUGUAGAUGAGAUGAUCUGGCUGAAAGCCUUUUUAGGGCUUCUGCGGCCGCUUUUCAUCUUCAACAACAAUCGGGUAUUGCUAACUUUCCUGUUUUUAUUUUUACGGUUCAAUCUUCCAGUUCCAAAUUCUCAUACCCUAACUUGCAAUGCUCCUGCGCCUAGCACUAGAUUUAUUGUGAGGAAUGGCAUAUGAUGUUUAUAUUUUAAACAUCUCUAUUAACUGUCUCUGAAACUUGAUUUUGCCUUUUUCUGUUUUGGUGUUCAAACUUGGCAUUUAACUGCCUUGUAUGAAAAAUCUAAUUGCUGAUGCCAUAAUAAAUGUUGGAUAUUUACAAUUAUAAUGCUUGGAUGGAUAUUAUUUGCAAAGACAUGUGGAAGGAUAUUGUUUUGCAAAGGCAAGUGGAUGAGGUUAAAAGUUAUUUAAAAUACAAUGGUCAGCCAAGGUUACGCAUCUGACCUUCAUAGUCAUAACAUCCUGAUCAAUGGCCAUUGUAAGAGAGAAGGAUCCAUGAUGCAAAACAUUGACUCCUGAUAUUCCACUCUUACAGAGUCCAUUGAUUAAGAUGUUAUAACAUUGUUCUGAAAGGAUUUCUUCUCAAAAACUGCACAUCAUGUGUUGUGCAAGAUCUCAAUGAAAAAGGUUUGGAUCUGGUAUCAGAUGGAAAAAUUAUACUGUGUUUCUACGAGGGGAUUCUCAAAAUGGGAAUUUCAAUCGAAAUAUCUUUUUCAGCUCAGCAGUGCUGUGGUGGUCUUUCUUUAACAACAGCUAUGCUGCUACAACUCAUGUAAGUUAUUGUUACCCAGUUUUUCCACCUUAAGAACGGUAGAAUCUACUAUUUCCUUUUCAUAAUGGUGAUGUGUCUUGGCUCUAGGUCAUGCUGUAGGUUCUCCUGAACAUAUGGUAAAAAGUGAUCAGUUAAUAGAUACUGUAAUAAAAGUGGCAAAGGUUUAUUGUUGUUGCUGGUUGUUUCUGAUAAAUUUGCAUGUUUAAGUACUCUUUAAGGGUUUAUUUUGGGGACUCCUUUUGUCGAAUUUUAAAGAAAACAACUCUGCUAAUUCUCUACACGUCUCCUUCGAUCUUGAGCUCUUGGUCUAUAACUUGUUUAAUGUACUCAGAUUGAUGAUUUGACAAUGACAUCUGAUUCUGUUUAUUGUGGGAUCUUUUUCUAUUUUAUUUUAGCCUCUUGAAUUCUUUUUGAAGUUUGAUGAUCGAGACCAUGUUGCAUUACAGGAUACAGAUUCUCACUUCUGUAUCUCAAUUAUCUGUGUCCUGGUGAGAUACUUCUCAUCCGUGAAGAGAUAAGUCAAGUUCAAGAGGAACCCUUUUCCCCUUGUAAUUGUGUGAUCUUCAUGUAAAUUCUGAUGAAGAUAGAAUCAUAACUUGAGAGCAAACUCUGAAAUGUUAUAGCAUCGAUUAUUUCAUCUGAACAGCACAUGCAUCUUUCUAUCUGAUCAUUGUUCACAUUUGCUAUGUUUUGAUCAUGUAACUAUGUGACAAUCAAAAAAUGAUGGGCACGUGCUGCUUAAUCAACUGAAGUUAGCUUGUCAUUAUAUGGUGCUGCAGAAGGUAUGAGGUGAUUUGAAGGUAAAAGAAAUGGAAUGAAUUCAAUGCCUGCGAUGAACAUGGGAGAGAUCUUAUAGUUCAGAGAAAAAUUGUGGAGUCUCAUUGAAGAUUUGGCGAUUUUAUGAUUAAGUUUUGCAUGUUGGAUGAGUGUCCAAUAAUUGGCCCUUAAUUUGUUUCUAGUCAGCAGAGGUGGUCUGCAGACAAGUAGUUUUUGGCCGAUUGGCUGCUUCUAUCUAUACAUUUUACGAAUGAGAUUUCAAUUGACCAAGGUAUUGCUCAAUUUUUUAUCAGACUCGUUCAUUUUUUGGUA